GACGAACGCUGGCGGCGUGCCUAAUACAUGCAAGUAGAACGCUAAAGGAGGAGCUUGCUUCUCUGGAUGAGUUGCGAACGGGUGAGUAACGCGUAGGUAACCUGCCUGGUAGUGGGGGAUAACUAUUGGAAACGAUAGCUAAUACCGCAUAAUAGCAGUUGUUGCAUGAUAACUGUUUGAAAGGUGCAAUUGCACCGCUACCAGAUGGACCUGCGUUGUAUUAGCUAGUUGGUGGGGUAACGGCUCACCAAGGCGACGAUACAUAGCCGACCUGAGAGGGUGAUCGGCCACACUGGGACUGAGACACGGCCCAGACUCCUACGGGAGGCAGCAGUAGGGAAUCUUCGGCAAUGGACGGAAGUCUGACCGAGCAACGCCGCGUGAGUGAAGAAGGUUUUCGGAUCGUAAAGCUCUGUUGUAAGAGAAGAACGAGUGUGAGAGUGGAAAGUUCACACUGUGACGGUAUCUUACCAGAAAGGGACGGCUAACUACGUG
rnacentral:rRNA from 1 species